AUUGAACGCUGGCGGCAGGCCUAACACAUGCAAGUCGAGCGGAUGAAGGGAGCUUGCUCCUGGAUUCAGCGGCGGACGGGUGAGUAAUGCCUAGGAAUCUGCCUGGUAGUGGGGGAUAACGUCCGGAAACGGGCGCUAAUACCGCAUACGUCCUGAGGGAGAAAGUGGGGGAUCUUCGGACCUCACGCUAUCAGAUGAGCCUAGGUCGGAUUAGCUAGUUGGUGGGGUAAAGGCCUACCAAGGCGACGAUCCGUAACUGGUCUGAGAGGAUGAUCAGUCACACUAGAAGUGGAACACGGUCCAGGCUCCUACGGGAGGGAGCAGUGGGGAAUAUUGGACAACGGGCGAAAGCAUGAUACAGCCAUCGCGAGUGUGUGGAGAAGAUCCUCGGAUUGUAAAGCACGUUAAGUUGGGAGGAAGGGCAGUAAGUUAAUAACUUGCUGUUUUGACGUUACCAACAGAAUAAGCACCGGCUAACUUCGUG
rnacentral:rRNA from 1 species